rnacentral:misc_RNA from 1 species
AACUUUUAGCAACGGAUCUCUUGGCUCUCGCAUCGAUGAAGAACGCAGCGAAAUGCGAUGCGUAAUGUGAAUUGCAGAAUUCAGUGAAUCAUCGAAUCUUUGAACGCACCUUGCGCCCCUUGGUAUUCCGAGGGGCACACCCGUUUGAGUGUCGUGAAUACUCUCAACCUUCUUGGUUUCUUUGACCACGAAGGCUUGGACUUUGGAGGUUUUUCUUGCUGGCCUCUUUAGAAGCCAGCUCCUCCUAAAUGAAUGGGUGGGGUCCGCUUUGCUGAUCCUCGACGUGAUAAGCAUUUCUUCUACGUCUCAGUGUCAGCUCGGAACCCGCUUUCCAACCGUCUUUGGACAAAGACAAUGUUCGAGUUGCGACUCGACCUUACAAACCUUGACCUCAAAUCGGGUGAGACUACCCGCUGAACUUAAGCAUAUCAAUAAGCGGAGGCU